rnacentral:rRNA from 1 species
CUCAAUGAUAUUUCAAUAGCCGCAAUAUUCUGUGCUAAGGUAGCAUAAUCACUUGUCUUCCAAUUAAAGACUAGAAUGAAAGAUUCAAUAUUUUUAUUUCUAUACAAAAUAAAAACUUCAAAUUAUUUUAAAUAUAAAAAAAUAUUUAUUCAAUAAAAAGACAACAAGACCCUAUCGAACUUUACUAAAGUUUAACUGGGGCAGUUAAUUAAAUAAAAUUUUAAUUAAAAAUUCAAAAUGUCCUAAUUCAAAUUAAACUAAUCAAGUUACCGUAGGGAUAACAGCGCAAUAAUUUUUUCAAGCUCUAAUUUAAAAAAUCGUUUACGACCUCGAUGUUGAAUUAAUAAUCUAUUAAAUGCAACGAUUAAUAAGAAAGUC